AUUGCUUCUCAGCCUUUUGGCUAAGAUCAAGUGUAGUAUCUGUUCUUAAUCAGUUUAAUAUCAGAUACAUCCUCUACCUGAGGAUGGUAAAUUAAAUAGAUUUUUGCAGCAGGAAGUUGGAGUAGAAACUUGCUCUGCCCACUUCAUGCAUAGGCCUGGUAUCGCAGCACUUCCAGGAACGGUGCAAAUAUC